UUCAUUCUAUAUACAAUUAAUGUCACUUUAACUACCACCACCACCACCCCAACAAUGUACUAGUACUAAUUCCGGUCCCCUCGAGACAUCAUCGUUGCAUACCAUCAACCAGUCUGUUAUAAACGAGCAGGGAAUCACCGGCCCUCGCUACAGAAUAGUCCACAUAAGUACAUAGAGAGCACAAUCUUUAGAUAUGAAGCAUUCAAGGAGCUGUCAAUACAUUCCCCCAAAUCCAGCCUCAGUUCUAUGACUUGUAGUAUCAAUGGAUGAAGCUUUAUGGAAACUCGUCUCAUGUAUAUGCAGGAAACGAAUUCGUUAUGGUGUUAACCAAGCCCGGAAUUAGCUAAGGAGAUACAAAUGAGAGGAUUUUGAUGUGAAGAAGCUUCUUGGAGAUGAGCUAGGUCUAUGCAGAAAUCUUGAAGCAAGACUAGUGAGGGUGGGGAAAAAACGAAUUCCCAACUCUGGCGCUGCAUAGGAAUCAAGAGAUUAUGGGGAAAGAUUCACUCUUGUUCAAACCGCAAAACCAAGAACAACCCCAUGGCCUUAACCACACUCGUUGUCGAAGAAUUACAAUCAUUUUCCUAUUAGUAUCAUCACCGCAAGACCACAAUGUGGUGUGCACGACAUUCUCCAACCAUUGCACAAGUAAAAAUAGGAGGUUCAAUAAAAGAUCAACAAUGAGACAGAAGCUGCAAGAAUUUACAUAGUACUAUAAAAAUGAAUGCACACAUCAAUGUGAGUUAGCCAUUGUUUCUUGCUGGAUUGGUUGAGGCUCGAUCAUACAAGGCAGCACGAGAGGCGAUAGGAGAGGGAUCGGAUCUUUACUUGAAAAAUACGAAGAAGCUGCUGCUGUUGUUGAAGAAGAAGAUGAUGAUGCUUCUUUGUCACCUGCAUUAGGCUUCAUGGUGGCCGGCUUGAGCUGCAGAGGGCGUGGGGCGCGUCGUUGAAGCCGGCUCAACGGAGCCUUCACUUCAUCUCUUGGAGUCAAGAUUUGGAAUCCAGGAAACUCUGAUUCAAAACUGCCCAUUGAGUUCAAAGAUAUUGUGUGGAGUGAUAGUAAUUUGUUUCAACUGUAUUAUUGAAGCAGUGGAUUAUCUGUUUGGAAUUGACUAUGAUAAAUUGGAUUGCAACAUGAUCCAGUUCCAGCCUGUA